AUUGAACGCUGGCGGCAGGCCUAACACAUGCAAGUCGAACGAGUGGCGGACGGGUGAGUAAUGUCUGGGAAACUGCCCGAUGGAGGGGGAUAACUACUGGAAACGGUAGCUAAUACCGCGUACCAUCGGCUGUGCCCAGAUGGGAUUAGCUUGUAGGUGAGGUAACGGCUCACCUAGGCGACGAUCCCUAGCUGGUCUGAGAUGAUGACCAGCCACACUGUAACUGAGACACGGUCCAGACUCCUACGGUACGCAGCAGGGGGGAAUAUGUAACAAUGGGCGCAAGCCUGAUGCAGCCAUGCCGCGGGUAUGAAGAAGGCCUUCGGGUUGUAAAGUACUUUCAGCGGUGAGGCGUUACCCGCAGAAGAAGCACCGGCUAACUCCGUGCCAGAAGCCGCGGUAAUAC
rnacentral:rRNA from 1 species